rnacentral:rRNA from 1 species
AGUAACGCGUGGGUAACCUGCCUCAUACAGGGGGAUAACAGCUGGAAACGACUGCUAAUACCGCAUAAGCGCACAGGAUUGCAUGAUCCAGUGUGAAAAACUCCGGUGGUAUGAGAUGGACCCGCGUCUGAUUAGCCAGUUGGCGGGGUAACGGCCCACCAAAGCGACGAUCAGUAGCCGACCUGAGAGGGUGACCGGCCACAUUGGGACUGAGACACGGCCCAA